CUCAAACUCCGUCUCUUUGUGCAACAAGGCAGGCCUUCUAGGUUCUUUCAGUGAAUGACUGUAAAGAUUUACAGAGAAUAUGUUUACAGCAUUUACUCUCUAACUGAAGUUUUGG